rnacentral:tRNA from 1 species
AAAAAGGCCGGGAUAGCUCAGUUGGUAGAGCAGAGGACUGAAA